AUGAUUCAACUUCUGUUCCCAAAAGAAAAUCCUCCUUCUCCCUUUAGAACCCGCUGUUCGCGUCUCAACAUUCUCUCUUCACCGGCGAUUUCUGCCUAUCUCCGCAUAUCUCAUCCUUCAUGUUACCGUGAUGUUAUUCUUCUUCGACCCCUGUGUCUUCAUCGCAACGACACCUCUCAAUCAUCAUUACCUCUCUGCUUAUCCAUCAUCAUCUCUGGCCUUGUUUCCGCUCAACGAUAUGAUCUUCUUCAUCUCAAUACGACGUGA